rnacentral:rRNA from 1 species
GUGAGGAAUUUUCCGCAAUGGGCGAAAGCCUGACGGAGCAAUGCCGCGUGAAGGAUGAAGGCCUAUGGGUUGUAAACUUCUUUUCUUAGAGAAGAAUAUUGACGGUAUCUGAGGAAUAAGCAUCGGCUAACUCUGUGCCAGCAGCCGCGGUAAGACAGAGGAUGCAAGCGUUAUCCGGAAUGAUUGGGCGUAAAGCGUCUGUAGGUGGCUUCAAAAGUCUCCUGUCAAAGAUCAGGUCUUAACCCUGGGCCGGCAGGAGAAACUCUGAGGCUAGAGUUUGGUAGGGGCAGAGAGAAUUCCCGGUGGAGCGGUGAAAUGCGUAGAGAUCGGGAGGAACACCAAAGGCGAAAGCACUCUGCUGGGCCACAACUGACACUGAGAGACGAAAGCGAGGGGAGCAAAAGGGAUUAGAUACCCGGGUAGUCC